rnacentral:rRNA from 1 species
CUGGCGGCAUGCCUAACACAUGCAAGUCGAACGGGCUCAUAUUGAAACCUAGUGAUGUAUGAGUUAGUGGCGGACGGGUGAGUAACGCGUGGAGAACCUGCCGUAUACUGGGGGAUAACACUUAGAAAUAGGUGCUAAUACCGCAUAAGCGCACAGCUUCGCAUGAAGCAGUGUGAAAAACUCCGGUGGUAUACGAUGGAUCCGCGUCUGAUUAGCUGGUUGGCGGGGUAACAGCCCACCAAGGCGACGAUCAGUAGCCGGCCUGAUAGGGUGAACGGCCACAUUGGGACUGAGACACGGCCCAAACUCCUACGGGAGGCAGCAGUGGGGAAUAUUUGCACAAUGGGGGAAUCCCUGAUGCAGCGACGCCGCGUGAGUGAAGAAGUAUUUCGGUAUGUAAAGCUCUAUCAGCAGGGAAGAAAUACUGACCUUACGGUCAGCAGACGGUACCUGACUAAGAAGCCCCGGCUAACUACGUGCCAGCAGCCGCGGUAAUACGUAGGGGGCAAGCGUUAUCCCGGAUUUACU